rnacentral:lncRNA from 1 species
CCAAGCUCAAGCUACAACUGCACACACCCUUCUCUUUCUCUUUCUCUGUUCUUCUCAUUGUAUGGCCGCCAAUUCGAGUAGCCGAGGGAUCACCGCCUUGGGGAAGCGCGUCGCCAACAGGAUCUGGACCACCAAAUCCCCCUCACCUCCUCCCACUUCCAGGUACCUUUUUUCUUGCUUUUCUCUUCUUGCCAUGCUUAAUUUCUCUCAUUAUUAUCACAUACUUGAUUAAGUAGAAAUUAAACCACAUAAUCCGUGACUAUGAGCAGAUUUUCUGAUCUGAGUUCUGGAUGCUGUCGACUUUGUUGUGAUUAUUGAUUAAGUAGUCUCUUUAUUGUGUUGAGUAAUCCGUGAAUCUUUUGAAGAUCGCUGUGUCAUUUUCUAAUAUUCCCAUAUAUAUAUAUAUAUAUAUAUAUAUAUAUAUAUAUAUAUAUAUAUAUAUAUAUNUAUAUAUAUAUAUAUAUAUAUAUAUAUAUAUAUAUAUAUAUAUAUAUAUAUAUAUAUAUAUAUAUAUAUAUAUAUAUAUAUAUAUAUAUAUUCAUCCUUUCUUAUUGUGGAGCCAAAAAUUAAUAGGAUAUUAAUCUGGAAAUCUCUCGAUUAACCGGAUAUAUAAUUUCCCCCUUUUGGUGGAAGAAUUUUGUAGGCGACCGUGCAAAGAAGAGUCUGGAAAGUGUUACCGUCUUACCCCUAUGUGUAGAAUUAAUUUCCCCUAUCACCGGCUUCCACUUUUUCUUUGUUCUGUUCGUAAUUUUUUCCCUUCCUUAUCUACUUCCUCCCUGCGCUUUUUUGGGUGACAUCUUAUCUAGCCUUCUGGGGUUGUGUGCUGCCAAUUUGCAUAGUAUAAUAUUAUUAUUAUUGUAUUGUAGUGGAAUGUCUAUAUCUCCUUCCAUCUUGGAUUGUCCUAUACUGAGAUGAACCAUCUUCCUUCUCCUUGUUACAUGGGAUUAGGAUCCGUCGUCACUAGUAAUUUUUUUUUUCAAGUUCCCCCUUCUGUGGCAUUGAGCAUAAUAUAAAACGAAUAAAAGUGAAAGGCAUCUUCAUCCUUGGUCGCUACUAUCUUUUAUCUUUUGGGAUGUGUACGAAACGUAUGAUUUGACAACGGGAAAUAUCAAGUCCUUGGUUGGAGAUGGAGGCCAAAGACAAAGCAAGGUAAAGUGGAUGAGGAUAAUUGUUUUCCAACUCAUCCUCCUCAAUCCACCCACCACGUCCCUUUCCGUGAGUGUUUGUACCCUGAGAAACUAUCAAGUUGCUUGCUUCUUUUCACUUUUCAAUAUUUUGUCUAACGUUUUUUCUCUUUUUAUUAUUAUUAUUAUUAUUAUUAUUAUUAUUAUUAUUAUUUCUGUUGCAAUUACAUUUGAUUUUUUUUAUAUUAAAUCUAUAAUGUAUGAAAUAUGAACAGUGCUUUUCUCUACCCGGUUAAGCAUGUGGUUAACAAUAAAUUAUCUACCUUUAGCUUUCAAAAGAACUAUGACUUGCAAUUGGUUUAAUGAAGAGGCCAUCCUAACUAAGUCAUCAAUAUGAUAAUUAUUGCUCAGAUAGUUAUUUUGGUAUAUCAUAGUUUAGUUUAAAUUGAAUGAAAACUAUAUCGACGUGGAAAAUAUAUAACGAUAAGAUGAUAAGGUUAGUCUUUGUGGGGCCAUUUUUUAAUUAUUAUUAAUUGAUGAUGGAAAAUUAGAAAGGGGGACCCGGGUUGUUUCCAUCUGGCCAGGAACUUUUUUAUUUUUAGUGUAAAGGCCCUUCUAUCCGUACUAUUUAUAUUGUAUUUUUAAGGAUGUUCUUAAGAUUGCAAAACCUGUUCUUGAACAAUGGGAACGUCAAUUCUUAGUGGGAGUAGCUUUCCAAUUAAACGGAACUUUGGAACCUCAGUACAUAGUGAGAGUAACUUUCAAUGAAUUGGAACUUUGUAAUGUGUAUUUUAUUUAAACAAAUACUCACUUAAAGUUUUGUAUUCGUUCGACUUGAAAAAAAAAAAAAUAGUUCUAAACUUUUGUCUUUAUUACUUGUAUGGUUCUAUACUUUUGUGAUUUUUUUUUUCUUUCUUAUCAGGGGUCUUUUCCAUUAAGUAAUGUCUGUUGUAUUUGCCACCCUUAUUUAUGCACACAUAUUUUAAUACACGAGCUCAAUUUUUAUGUUUGGUUUUUAUAAUUAAAUGGACAAUAUUUACUAUCUAAAAGUGAUACUUUAUGUUUGGCUUUUUAAUUAAAUGGACAAUAUUCACUAUCUAAAAGUGAUACUUAUUCUCUGAUAUACAACCACUUUCUAAAAGAACGUUGAGUUUUUUCCCUUUUUUAUUUUGGAGUUUCGUUUAAACACAAAUUUGUAAUUAAGCAAUUAUUAAUGUCUACUAUUUGCUAAAGUGAAGUGACCCUUCCCGUGUGCCGGAUUGAAUUAAUGGCAUUAACAGUACCUAUAUUAGCUGUAGUUUCCAACGUACGCGAGUUCCAUGCUUCAAUAAUUUUAUGUUUUUUUUAUUGGGGAGAUAUAAUACCAUUGCAGUGCCUGUUAAAAAACAUUUUUGUCUGUGUCAACCUGUCCUAGUUCCUACUGGGGGUUGAAUAAUCUAUUCAUUCAAAUGUGUGAUGGUUAUGAUGUAUUAUUUAGUAAGACUUCCUUUUUGUGUCAAACUUACAGUUAUUUGAAGCUGUUUUUUUUAAUGUCCAUUUUUUUUCUUUAUUUACCUACCAGCGUGUAAAAUUUAUGAUAUUUAUUUUAUACUUAUCAGCAUUAUUUAUAUUAAUGUUUUUGUUUAAAUUUGAUGAGUCAUGUUUUACAUUACAAUUAUUGUGAUUAAUCUAGAUAGUAAAUCAUAAAGUUGAAAGCUUUGUUGAGUGGGUGAAUGGACCUUGAAGAAGAAGGCGUGGAAAAUGCGUAGUGAAUACUUAAAUUAAUUGGGUCGGUUGGUGGUCCAAAUCUAGAUAGGCUCAUAUAUACCCAUCACGUGCAUCUGUUUCUUUUUUUUUCUUUGACACCUAACCAUCUUGUGCAUACCAUUAGGUCCACGUGCCUAAUGUACUGCAGUACUCUGUUUCAAAAUUGUAGUUGUUUUAUAAAAAUGAAAGUCACAUUUAUUAUAUAUUUUUAGAAAUGCAUGUUAUUGUUAUUUUCUAUUGAUAAAACUAAUUUUUAUUUUAAAAAAAUUAAUAGAGAAAGUUAUUAAUUGGGAGUAUUUAAAUCUUAUUUGAUUCUAAUUAUGAUUUAAAAAAUGUUCAUUUGAAGCAGAAAGGCAGGUGGAGGAGCAGCAUACAGCAGCAGUUCGGUGUACGACAAAAACCCUGAUGAUCAGAUCCAGUCUGGACCUGUUCCAGACGAUGUGAUCCACGCCACUCAGUCCGGCAAGUACUGGGCCCCACACCCACAGACUGGUGUAUUUGGGCCUCCCGGCGACCA